UACUAGAGUAGCACUCGCAUAUCAAUAAGCGGAGGAAAAGAAACUAACAAGGAUUCCCCUAGUAACGGCGAGUGAAGCGGGAAGAGCUCAAAUUUGAAAUCUUAAAGGGUUUCCCUUUACGAAUUGUAGUUUAAAGAAGUGUUUUCUGUUGAGGUUUUGGUAAAAGUUCUUUGGAAUAGGACAUCAUAGAGGGUGAGAAUCCCGUAUUUGACCUUUACUUUCAACUUUGUGAUACACUUUCAAAGAGUCGGAUUGUUUGGGAAUGCAGUCCAAAAUGGGUGGUAAAUUUCAUCUAAAGCUAAAUAUUGGCGAGAGACCGAUAGCGAACAAGUACCGUGAGGGAAAGAUGAAGAGAACUUUGAAAAGAGAGUUAAACAGUACGUGAAAUUGUCAAAAGGGAAGCGUUUGACACCAGUGUUGUUUUUCUGAAAAUCAAUUAAAGAACUGUUUAUGCUAAGUUGUUUAGACUUUAUCAGCUAACUGUUUAGUUUUGAGCUUUUCUUUAAUGCACUUUUCAGUUAACAAGUCAACAUCAAUUUCUUUUGCUGUAAAAAAGCUUGAGGAAGGUGGCUUGAGAUUCGUCUUAAGUGUUUACAGCCUCUUGCCUAUGCAGUCGGAGAGAUUGAGGUCUGCAGCGUAGAUCCUUCGGGGCUAAAUGCAUUUGUGCUAAGUUAUAGCAUUUUAUAGACAACUUGUUGACUAUGAUUUGUCUUGUAGCUUACUCGCUUAUGUUAUUUUACCUACGCUUAGGAUGUUGAGCGCAUGUCUCUCUCU
rnacentral:rRNA from 1 species